ACGCUCGACACCUACGGGCAGCAGUCGGGAAUAUUGCGCAAUGGAGGAAACUCUGACGCAGUGACGCCGCGUAUAGGAAGAAGGUUUUCGGAUUGUAAACUAUUGUCGUUAGGGAAGAAAAAAGACAGUACCUAAGGAGGAAGCUCCGGCUAACUACGUGUCAGCAGCCGCGGUAAUCUGAGCGGGCUGGCAAGGC
rnacentral:rRNA from 1 species